CAGCCCUGCACGCGUUGGCGCAGAACUUUGUCAGAGACUUCAACGCUAGGACAGCUUUUUCUGUCCCUGCGCAUACCUCUCAACGUACCACUAUAAGCGACCCUCUCCCUCUUUAUCUUUUCGUUUAUCUUUCUGUGCAGUAUCUGAAGCCAAUCAUUGGAAUAGAAGUUGCGAACCCCAGCAUCUCGCAGAGCUUGACGAGGAAACUGUGUGCUAGCGGCAUUCCCUUAUAUAUGUAUGUACGCAUACAGAACUAUCCGCUUUGCUUUAUGCCUAAGACUGCAAGAUCUACCAAGGAAGAUAGUUAUCACGACUAGUCGGUGCACACCAAAGCGCUUUUUACAACCGCCAUGGAGUCACAGAGUUCCGACUUCUCAGAACUCGAUGUUGAUGAAGCCUUCAGCGACGACCACCAGGAUUCUCAAACACGUGUCCUCAGCGACGAUGAAGACUACAGCUCCGAUAGCUCGGAGCACAGCACUGCCGCGCGAGCAGCGCCUGCAGAGGGCUCGGCGCAGCGGUCUGCAGGCCAACGAUCAGGAAGAGCUCGCGGCAUCGGCAGCGAGUCUCUGCGGCCUCUCCGCGAGUCCUCGUACCCGGUAGAGUAUCUUUUUGCACAAACUACGUUGAAGGAGAAGCACUCAACAGAGGUCAGCACGGUUAACGAAGAGAAACGUGUGGGUCUGAAAUCGCUUGGCGGGCUCGUCAAGUACAGCUCAGCUGAUCUUCUCACCCGAGCGUGGUGCCUCUGCCCCUCAGAGCUGAAAAAUCGUGAGCACCCGCUGUAUAGUAAGCUACCCAAAUGCCCUGAAGUGCUGGAAACUCGGUUUGGUGACACGGAUGAGAUAUCCCAAUUCAUGUGCUCCAUAGCUCUCCAGCUUGGAGAACGUUACCAUCGUGUCACGCCUGUAUACCUUCGAUCUCUGCUCGUUCAGGCCGUCGUGCGGGAUGAAAUAGCAGGCGCAAAUCAGAGUGUUGCGAACAGCACACCGUACGCGGACGUCCUGCUCGACCCCGCUUGGGAAGGCGAAAGCGCAUGUGCUGAUGAGGCAGAUGAUGUAUCUGGGAAUGAAGGGAGCGACGAAGUGCAAGACGAGAAUAUUGAGGUGGAGUCCGCCGUGAGCGCUUUCGAUUUCAGCGUUGCGUUGAUCUUGCCUGUCGUGUCGCAAGGAAUCACGUACGAGAGUCUUCACCUUCUCCACACCUUGGUUGAUCGAUGUCUGAGCUCCUCUACCGAGGUGGCAGUGCUGCGAUCCUGGGGCGUUAGACGCAUCAUGCGUCUGUUGCUUCGUCACAUGAACGUGCACGCCGGGCAAAGCGUGAACAAGAGAUGGCUUGCGACAACGAUAUCAUUGCUGUCUAAGAUCGUGCUCUCUUCCGGAGACACAAAGGUAUUUUUUUCACUUCUGCGAUGGAGUCUGCACCACCCUGACACGAUAGCGAUGCUGCACAUGCGCGGGGUGCGGGGCAUUGUUGAACGCGUGGAGCAGAAGAGUGCGGUUCGCGUGCGCCUGUCGAUCCCGACAGUCACACCGAAAGAGCAGACGAUCUCGUUUAUUCACUCUGUGGGAAGUACUCCCGCCUCUGUCACGGGCCUCUGCGUGUUUACGGAGGAGGAUGCUCCACGAUGCAUCGUUUUCACCGAAAAUCGCUCCUUCAAAGUCGCCUUAACUCCUCCGUUUGAGGUGCUGUGCUGUAGCAGCACUGCCCCCGACUCGUGCCGAGGUGUUUAUGUCGAGAGCGAUAUGUCGAUCUGUGUACUUGGCGACCACGGGAAGGUCUUUGUGAUCAACAAGGACACCCUAAUGCUUACCCGGACAAUGUCCCCUCCGUCGCACCUUCUAGGCUCCACUCAGUUUCCUCUGUACAUUGGAGAUGGUGAGUACGUGUCGUCGUACUUUUUAGCCGGCACUUCCACUGAAAGACAGGCCUGCUUUACAGGAAAUGAGGUGAGUGGAGCACUCACGCCGAGCACAAUCACGCUACCGCGGACGUGCGACUCAUUGAGCAUCCAGUUCUACCUUUGCCCGGUCAUCACAGGAACGGUGAAUGAAAUGACGCUGCUCCAUCUCACCACCGGGAGCAAGAACUGGCUUUCCGUGUCGGUCUCGCUGAACCCUCUUACCUCCACCAUGGUGCUCAUGUUCCGUCAUGGGCAGGACGCCUUCGCUGAGAUCCGAGAGCCACUGAGAGCAGAGUGGGCCCUUUGGAGCGCGUCGCUGACGUCCACCAAUGACACAGCGGCGUGGAGUGUGUUCAAGAACGGCGUCAUGUGCGACACGCGCAGCCAAAGCGGCGCCCUGAUACAGCCCAGUGGUGCUGUUACCCCUAUUUUCUUCAAGGGUCGCUUGAACGCGCAUCUUUCUACUCUGCAGCUGUGGAGUCGUGCGCAGAGCGUUGACUGCAUGCGCAACUGCGCGCUGGAGCACACGCCGGAGAGCAAAUCGCAAUUCCUUGUGUUUUCGUUCUUGAUGGAUGAAGGACUCGGGCGCUCUUUCCACAGCCCGCAGACAGGCUACGUUUGGCAAGGCACGGGGGUCAUCUGGGACACCCCGCCGAGGCCGUUUCCCGUAAACCGACAUUCUCCGCACAAGGUUCACUGGAGGCCGUCCGGCAACUACUACAUUGUCACCAACCACUUUGAGUACGCCAUCAUAGAGCCACAGGCGACGACGUGGAUCGACCGCGACGGCCGUGUCGUGGAGCAGGCAGAGGGACUUCUGUCCGUGAGCGAGCGGCCUUUUUACAACAUUACGGAUGGUUACUUUUUCCUGUCCACUCAAGACACCGUAGGCAUUCGGUCCGUCAAGUCAAACUCACCGCCGGCGGCGUACUUGCAACAUUUGCCAUCGAUGGUGGUUGGCAAGCAGUUCUGCGCGCAGGUCGUGGAGAGCGUGAUGAGGCGCACCCCAAUCACGGCUAAGCAGUACCUAGAGUACCUGGUGCACCGAACCAAUCUGCACCUGCUCACCUACAGCGACGAUCAAGGUAGCGGCCCCGUCCACCUGUCGUCGAGCCUGCGAGAGAAUCUCUCUGUUGUUGGUCGUCUCCUCGACUUGACCGAGUACUUGGUCUCCGGCAUCGAAAGCAGUGUGAAGGAAUGCCUGCGCCCUGAGCUGCUGCUUUGCCUUGUCGGUCGUGUGCUGAACAUUUACGUAAAGCUGUUUGAACGACAAUGUCCUGGGCAGGUAGUGCGGUCUGUGGUGGACGCGCACAAGCGUCUGCAGAGCUUGAACACGAAGGUGAAGCAGGACGAGUUUCUGCAGGAAGCUGCUAGUGUGUUUGGCGACCUCAAUCAGGUCAUUCUGGCCCGCUGCGUCAGCCACGAUUUUCAGCUAAAACUGAUCACGGACAGCGCCAGCUUGAAAGAUGUACGCCAACUGCUGCAGCUAGAGAGCCUCUCGCAGUUUGUCGCCUCCGUGAUCAAGAGGGACAUGAAGAAGAUGUUCAUGACCUUUUUGCACCGCUUGAAGGAGGAGUGCCAAGAGGAGGCGACGCUCAUCUUCGACAGCAAACCUCGCCAAAUCAAUGCAUCGGAGGCGAUGCUCAGCACCCUGCUAGGAAUGCUUUCGCAGCAAGGGCACUCGCAGUGGCACCUGGUCGCUGCUGCGCUGAUCAGCUCCCUCUGCAAGUGGAUCAUUCGCUGCUUUGAGGAGCGCUACCCGUCGGACGCCGAGCGCUACGCCAACGUCGAUGUCCUCAAAGAAACCUCCAUCGGCAUUGUCCUCUUCCCCGUCGUACACUACAUGUGCGAUAUGCAGCUUGACUCGUCCAUCGCCCCGGACGCGCUGAAGGCACUCAACGACGCGCGAAAGUGCCUGUCACGCUACAGCCUGGCGCCGGGUAAGACAGGGAAGAAGUUUGUCUCGUUCUCGGAGACGCAUUACGUGGCGUCGCCGCCUCAGCUGAAAGCACCGUUCUAUGCUAGCCUCUCGUUACAGUAUGCCAAGAGCAUCAAGGUGGAAUUCUUGGACUCUCCGGAAUUGGACCGCGCCUCUAGCACGGUGACCGUCUCGCUCGUCACAAACAACUGCCUGACCUCUGUCGACGUGCUGCACCCGGGCCAAAACGCCGUCUUCCUGGAGGGUGCGCAAGUUUCGAUUGCGUACGCCGCAGAAGCCACGCUGGACUCCCCGGCCCCUGGCGUGGCACUGAACGUGCACACGGUAGUUGAGCUGGCAACGGAGAAGACGGACUGGGUGCGCGAUAUCUGUCUGGCGCUCAGCUACAUUAUUAUCCGGGUGACGCAGCAUAACCUGCACAACACCGCGCCGUCCGGCAGCGCUAUCCGCAGAGACUCCUUUCUUCGCGGUGGCCUGUCGGCCAGCGUGCAGAAGUGCAACAAGAUACCGCUCUCCCCAGGGAACAAAGAGGAGUGCGCCGACCUGCAUGCUCAGCUGUGCGCGGUGGCGGAAGAGACGGACCCGUCGCUCACGGUUGCAUGGAGCGCCUUGUAUGAGAAAAGCCGCAUCCAGUAUUCCAAGCGGCUGGAGGGAAUCAUGCGAUGGGCAAGUUGCGCGCUUGCGUGGCAGACACUCUCGCUCCCCGCAGAGGACGAGAAGACAGUGGAGCAGCUGCUUUGCAGCAGUGUGAACGCUAUCAAGCGCAAGACGUUUUUGCUGCUGGAGGCGCUCCAGCAAGGGCGCGAGGAGGCGAUCGUAGGUCGGGCACGCUUUUUGCUCUUCAACAUAACCCCCCGUCUCUUUGGCGAGUGGCAGCUGAUCGAGCACCAGCACACGGAGGAGCCGUUGACAGCGGAGGCGGAUCGUGGCUCUCGCCAGCUGUCGCGACUGGCCUACUCGGUUGGGAACCGGAGCCGGGCCACCGUGGCAAGUUUCCAAAUGCCUACGGCGCACGCGCUUGACCUCUCGAGUAACUAUCGCGGGUCACUGCUGAGCACGCGCAAGACGGCCUCGCGGACGUUGGAUGAGUCGCCGGUGAAUAUUUUCACCAAAACUUUGAGGAGCGAAGAGGAGAGUUUGCCAAACAAGAUCAUCUACUACCUCAUCAACGGACUUGACAAGCCCACCGAGGACAUCUGUAAAGAUAUGGUGCUCAAGACGCAGCAGGCGGUGUACCAGACGGAGGCGUACAAGCUGCAGGAGGACCUUUGCAAGUCAUUUGCGAACGACCGGGAGAUGCUGUCGGCCAUUUUGAUGACGCACUUAAAGUACCGGCUGGAGUUCUCUCAGUCCACAAUCGUCGCAGCGAGUGAGCAAGGGGAGGCGGCGAGCGAGGCCAACGUUGGCUUUGACCAUCAUUACACAGAGCAGAUGAUCGGCUGCGGUAUGCUGCGGGAGCUGGAGUUGCAGAAGGCGGUGUGCUCGUUUGUGCAGAGCUCGCUGCGCUCCCUCUUGCACAAACUCGACGACACUCAGGACUUCCCGUACGUGGAGGCGGUGUACAUGUGCGCUACCCUGUGCCACCCCUGGGACGGUGUCGACAUGUCAAUCCUGCAGCCGCGAGAGAUCUUUGCCUUUCUCAAGAAGCUCCUCACAACCGCUUGCGAGCUGCGCCUCGAAUCUGCGAGCAGCGACACCGACAAGUACUACGAGAGUCGUGGACUGUUUGACCUUGCGCACCGCUGUCUGGUCAUUCCCAACGCAAUGUUACAGACGUCUGUUGAGGGCGUUCACAUCGUUCAAAGUGAGGUGCAGGGGCUGCAUGUGGAAAACGUCAAUGUUGUGUUCAGCGCUCGAACGCACUGGAAGGCACACGGCGCGAACGUCAGAAUACCGACAAAGACGUGCGAGGCUGACUACUACGCGAACUACGGCAUUCCAAAAGUAAUCAGCGAGUUUCCAGACGUGCAGUACUACGAGGUGGCGCUGGACUUUGCGCUGCAUCCGAGCAACCCGGAACUAUCGAUGGGGCUGAGCCUUGUGCCUCUCUCGCCGCUCGACCCUGUGCGGGCAGACUACGUGCUCUCACUCGCCUCUACCGGCCGUGUCCACCGCCCGGAGAAGCAAGAUCGCCAGCUAUGCAAUCCGUGGAAGGUCGGCGACGUUGUCGGGUGCGGGCUCAUGGCCCCAUCAAACAGCGUCUUCUUCACGCUGAACGGCGAGUUUCUCGGCGUGGUUGCGGAGGUGCCCACCCUGUCCACGGUUAUCCCGUUUGUCAGCGUGCGCGGCGACGACACACUCAUGAAGGUGAUUGUCAACUUCGGCGAAGAACAAUCGUUUCGCUUCGACCUGGCAUCGUUGCACUGCAGCUGCCGGCAUCGCUACCUCACUCCGAGUGUGGUGUGCGACACGGUCAUCAUCACGACAGACUACCUCGUCACAAUGUGCUACAAGGGACUGUCGAAGGGGGAAGACACCUCCGUGACGUGCGACGAAGCUAUCAGCGGCCUUCUCGAGAAGGCGACAGCAUUCCUCAGCUCGUCGACGAUAACACUUAUGGUGAAGCUGAACGCGUGCUCGCCGGGGCAGAGCAGCCGCAUCGAGCAGAUUGUCGUCUUGCUCUCGCGCCUUCUCCACUGCGUUUCCAUCGUAAUAGAGUGCUUUCGCUACGACGCUGUCACCCGGCGCACGCACGCGACGGUUCUCCAGCUGUGCGCUGCCAUCCUCACGCGGUGCCGCGACAAGUGGGUCAAGGUACGCGCCUCACAGUGUCUGGCGAUGCUUUGCAAAAUACUGCGUCCCCAGUACCUGGUGGAGGCCUCGGAAGCGCUGCGGGGCCUCGUGUCCUUUGAGGACAUUGUGCAGCAGCUCGUCGACCUCGCCCGCAUCAAAUUCAUCAAGGAGGCGGAAGCACCUAUGCAGCCGCCUCGCUGGGUUGGCGGCACCACGGUUGUGAAGGGCAAGGGCACCUUCUUCGGGUCUGUUCCGCUGCCAAAGAAGGGCACGCAUCUUGUUGGAUUUCGCAUCAAACGGCGACAGCAGCAGGUUCAGGGGCCGGGGGCCCCGCUGGGCGGGUGCUACUACCUCGGACUCGCUCACGGACAGCCGUCGAUUCCGAACAUGGGCAACCUAAUCAGCCGGAGUGACGUUUACGUGUUGCAGGACACAGAUGACCAGGACCAGGUGGCGCAUCUUCUUCUGCGCAGGCACUGCAUCCCGCGCAACAACCACCGCCGCGUCUAUGGCAAUGAUGAGGUGGUCUGGGUGGAGUUCAACGCGGACUACGGCGAGAUCGCCUUCUAUCGCGAGAACAUGGUCAUGAUCGGCCUCGCGUUUGCGAACAUUACCCAGGUUGACGACCUGUAUCCGAUUGCCUUUCUCUUCAAUGACGACGCCUCCUGCGAAAUCAUUGCGCCACCGUCCCUGACGGACGAGUCUGUCGAGCACUGGACGGAGAGUCUGCGCCGCAGCGCGGCGAUUGACACGCUACAGGAGCUUCAUGUGGUCCCCGGGUUUUCCGCGAUAAUCUCGCUCAUGGUGCAACGCUCUGUCUCGCAGCUCGAUUGUAGUCUGGACGAAUGUCUCGUGGCGCUAGGGGUGCUGGGCGGAGAGCGAAGCUACCUCUACUGCCAACACGAUACAUACGGUAUGGUUGUCGUGCACGCGAUCGCCGAGGUUACCGGGAAGGUGGUUGUGUUUCUCGCCAGCGACGAAGACAAGCGGCUGUUUUCCGUGCAGCCGCAGGGACUAAAGCCAUCCUUCAUUCAAACGCCACUGUACCAGAGCAACGCUCCAGACGCGCACUCAUGUGCCACACUGCUGUCGAGCGAGCUGUAUCGCAUCCUCUACGAGGCAUCCGCCGUGGCCCCGCUGCUGCAAAGCGAAGAAGGGGCACGACACAAGGUGGAGCGCCAGUACGAGGAGUCCCUCAGCAGCGCCAUCGCGACGAACCUUAUCGGAAUUCUCACCGAGCAGCAGAUGAGGUCGUCUCCGAAGCUGGCAAGAGCCGCUUCAACCUCGCCAGAGACCAGCGGUGCUGAGUUUCCUUACCGCCGCUUCAACUCGAGCGUCAUUUUUUCGGGCCAGUCCGUGUCGGUCGACCUGCACUGCUCCACCAAAACGCUGUACGUGCCGAACCCUUCCAUCGCCGUCACCACCGCUGAGGGCUGCUCUGUCGUGCGUGGAAAUGUGCAGCUCGAUCAACGCUUCACCCUCGCCGUCUCUGUCACACAGACCUCGAUAAAUGACCUCAUGUACGUUGGAUUCACCACCACGCGCAUGCGCUGGCCGGAAUCGCAGGACGAGGUCGCCAGCUGGGAAGACGCGUGGGUGCUCUGCAACCGAGACUCCGUCGCCACGAACAGCGUGAACUGCUGCAUGGAGCCCGGCAUCAUCUUUGGCGCGGCGAACAAGGUAUUCCAGAGUGGCGACGUACUUCUCAUGCGCGUCGAUCGACAUGAGAGGACAGUGGCCUUCACGCGCAUAAGGAACAGCGAGCAGACUGACCUGGGCGUCUUGUUCGAGGGCAUCCCCGCUGCCUGUGACCUGCGGCCGAUGGUAGUGUGUGGUGAGGAAUCGGUCGUAGUUUUCUCCACACUCGACUCAUGUCUGUUCCCCUCGCGGCUAACGUACCCGGUGAGCAACUUCAACAAUCCAUCGUGUGAGCGGGUGACCUGCUGUUCCUGCUCGCGGCGGCUGAUGCCGCCGUGGUACGGUAGCGAGGACAACGUGGCUCUUUGCGAAUGGUGCUUCAGCUUAUGGAAGCGGCCAAAGGACAUGUUCUUUGUCGUGAGCACGACGUCGCGCACGAUUCCGGAAUACUUGGUCUCGGAUCACUGCCCCGAAACGCUUGUGGCCGGCGAUUAUGUGGAGUUUGAGGAGAACACCGGGCUUCAGUGGUCAAACAUUCGAAGUGUGAACUCGGAGAUACUAGGGGGCACGUGCAUCGCGCUGAAUGAUGAGAGUUUUGCCUUCAGCGAGGAGCUGCCGCAGUUUGGGCAGCGCCGCGUCGACGUCCGACUCAGCCACAUAGCUGGUGUCCCAGGCCACCCGUUUAGCGGCUUGCACACCUUCACACCACUGUGGCGAGACGGGCAGCAAAUCGGCCCCACGUGCAGCCUCCGCGGCGACUGCGUGGCGGUGAGUGCGACAAUGCUGCCCAUGCGUACAAAGUUGUUCCUGUGCUUCCACAUUGAAAGCAACUCACGAAACACCCUCUUUUCCAUGGCUGAGGUCUUUGUAGGGGUGACGAACCUGGCUGAUGCGCCGAGGCCGAUGAGCCGCGCGGACCUGGAGCAUCUGUGCGCGGCGAAGAGUGUGCGCGGUACAUGGUGCGACACAAGCGAGAAGGUGAGCAGCAGCGGUUGCGUCAACAUGCUCGUGGAUUGUUUGAACAGCUCGGUAUUCUUCAGUUCCAGCCUCAGUGGUCUGCACGGCAAGCCGUUCGUCAUCUCCGGCAGCAUGUCCGCCGAGGCCGAAGAGGACAAUCUUCGCCUUCUCGUGUUUUCACACGAACCGUGCGUCGUGCGCUUCUCGGAGGGGCUUGUGUCCUACAACGAGUGCGUGGAGCCGAGCUUUGCGCCGCUUGCGAUCGGCCUCUUUCCCGAAAUGGGUGACGCCUUGUCGGUGGACACGUUCAACGAGGCGAUUGUGCUGAUGGACACUGUCGACCGCACACAGACAUACACGAAAGCAGAGUGGCGGUAUUCUCCCCACGUGGACAAGCUGGACAACGGCACACUCUUCUACGUUGGAGAUACGGUGACGUUUUUCCACGAUGGAACGACAAUUCACGUGUACAUACAAGGAAUCGAGCUGGCGAGCCUUGAGCUUAGUGAUGCACAGCGAAGCGAGCGCUUGCGUGUCGUCGCCUACCUGUCCACGCGCGGCACAACAGCUACGAUUGUGCCUCCUCUUUACGGUACUUCGCACUUUGGCAAGAUCACGCGCGUGUGCAGCCCAGACGUGGCCGUUGUCGAAUCGGUAUCCGAACACGGGAAACGCAGCACAUUCGCCGUCCACAAGUCUGCGGUGCGCUUCUGCGCGCUGGUGGCCGCGGCCGGUAGGGAGAAGCCAGGCCUGUGCGACGGCGACCCUGUCGCAUUUAAGAUCGGUGGGCUGCAGAUAUCCAAGCGUGGCACCAUAGCUAGCGUGCAAGGCGCCGUCGUGAAUGUGUGCGAAAGCAGCGACAAGCGGAACCUCAUCUCUGUCAACAUGAACCAGUGCUUUCUUCUGCGAAACGAAGGCAAGCAGCAGUACAACUACGAGCUCUACCCCCUCAUCUCGCCUCCGACCAGCUCCAUCACGCGUGUCUUCGAGGUGGGUAAGAAGAAGUUUCGUCUGCAGAGUCGUGGAUCGUACAACGGAAUCAUGUUUGACUGCAAGACAUCGGAGACGAUUGAACUGAUUGGGAUGUCCGUGCUGACGCGAGUCACCGGGUGCCAUCAGGUGCAGACCUACUUCCGAAAGGGUUCCAGUGUCAACCACGAGCGCGACGGACGAUCGUGGACGGUCAUCUUCGACGACAUGAUUGACAUGACGGCUGACCACCAGUUCAGCAUCCCAUUUACUCCGAUCACCGUGGAGGGCGGAACGACCUUUUCCUUCUACAUCAACACGUCACACAACUGCGGCAUCGGCUUCUACUGCGAGGAGGAUGGCUGCAGCGGUGAGAUCGGCCAGGAGCUGGACGCGGACGGCACUCUCUCUGUGUACCUGGGACGGAAGAGCGGAAGCAGCGAUCCGUUCACGGAGUUCAGUAUGUCACCGCGCGGGUUCUGUGGCACUAUUCAGUACAAGCAGAAUCAUGGCUCCACCUUGCCGUCGAUUGAGGGCAAGCUCUUCCCCAGACCGUCUAUGGAGGUGAACCUCUGCCAUUGCAGCGAAUCGCUUCGCCUCAUCUGCCGCCCGCUGACAACGUCGAAGGACAUUGUCGUCACGUUCCGAGUGCGGGUUUUCUCGCUGGCAGUUCGCAUCAUCUCGUUCACGAUGCCAGUACUGCUGCUGAACCCAUCGGCGCGCGUUCCUCAGGGCAUCUCGCACUGCUCCAUCUCCAUGUUCUACACGCCGGAGGACCGCCUCGAGAGGCAGUGGAUUUGGAACUCGCGGUUCUUGGUACAGGGCGACGCUUCUGAGGCUGUUCUGAGCCCGGCAAGCCUGUCUUUGGAGCAAGGGACAUACAUGUUCCAGGUGCUGCUGAAGAACAUCGAGAGCGAGGGCGUGGGCGCGCCGCCGCACCUGUGCCUACUAAGCAGCAGCGAUCCGUUGUACGAGCGCAAGAACGACCUUAUUGCAGUGAGCGGGUUCUUUGGCGACGUGACGUGUGAGGCAAACAGGCCUGUACUGGAGGGUGAGCUACACACGAUGAUUCCCGGCGCCCAUCUGAAUCAAAACAACUCGGCGUCCUACAACGGUAUCAUGUUCGACCUGCGCAGUAAGAAGGAAAUAACGCUGGAGCAAGUCUUCUGCAUCUCGCAGACCACGUCAGACUGCGUUACCGUGCGGAUUUUUUGGAGGGAGGGAAGCAUGGAGGGGGCGGAGAGGGCGCCGCAUCAGUGGCGCGAGGUGAUAACAAAGGAGGUGGCGGUGGUGGAUAAACAUCCCUUCUCAGUCGGUCCGUUGAUGUUGCGUAUGCGUGCCAACCAGGUCUACUCGAUUUUCAUCAACACGUCGUCGAGCUGUGGCGUUCGCUUCUAUAACAGCAGCGACGGCCACGUCGGAGACAUCCGCGACGAGUUCGACAGUGACGGCAUCUUAUCCGUGUACGUUGGCCGGAAAAGCGAGUCGUCGUCCCCUUUUGUUGAGCUUCCACUCGAACCACGCGCUUUUCGUGGACGGAUCACGUACCGUACGUACGCACUACAGAAUACCGACGCGAUGGAGCAUGCCACAUUCCCGUACGUCCGCGGCUUUCUUGUUACUCGAAUGCUGGUGGCUCUGAUGUCGUACGUCGAGCUGUCUAGCGUUGGGCACUCCGGCAACUUCUCCUAUGAGCAGCUGCUCAAGACAACUUCGCUGCUCGCCACGUCACCGAUGGAUUCGCUCGCAGACUUGAUGGGUGCGGAGAACAUGCUUGCAUCCCUGAUACGGGACUCGGGCGAGGUGCGCAACAUCAACGUCACGAUCCCAAUCGCGGGAGGCCACUGCAGCCUUCUGGUGCCACUAGCGAAGGGCGACAUCGCGCUGCUGACCGACCUGCAGAGCGCCGAGUCGAACGCGCUUGUGAAGCUGCAGUCUGGCGUGCGGCCCGACGGGAUGGCUCUCGUGCGACACCGUGAUGCAUCCGUACCGUUCAGCGUACCUGCGAAGCGACUCCUGCCCAUCACGAAGUGUGUCAUGUGCGGUUGGAUGUACACUCAGGAGGUGUGCGCCGCCUGUAACGCCGAGCACAUGCCCAUCCUCUCCGAGGAGGCAAGGGCGGUUGAGAUUGUUGCGAACGGGCUGCAACAGACACGGUCGGGGCUAAGUAUUCAGGAGACGAUAGAGGCAGCGGUGGCUGCAGUGGGUAGCGCCUGGGGCAAGGACGGGAUGCUGAUGCCGGUUGAUGCGGCAUCAAAGGACAGGCCGGAGGUUCAGGCGUCCGUGGCACCGCGCGGUGUCGUCUUCUCGAUUCCUGUUGCACUUCUGCUCAGUGAGGAGGAGUACAGCGAGGGCGGGAGCUUACUGUGCCCGUUUGUGUUUCACCCCGCUGCCGGCGCGGCAGUCGCGCUGCGCCUUUCGACGACGAACGAGGUGUUUUCCGUGCAGUUUGUCACCAGCGGCGCUGCUUCGGCAAUCGCGGAAGCGACCGAGGAGGCCCCAGCCCACUUUUUUCUCCUGCAGCUUUGGGGGGGAGAUGGCGAGGCUCGACACGGACUCACCGAGGAUCCUGUUCCGUUUGUCAUUUGCCGCGGUGGAGAGUCGAGCGUUCCACUGGUUGAAAACGUUCACGCCGGCUACGCUGCUAGCUUGCAGCGCGACGGGUUUGUGACGCUCUUCCUCGAGAUACAGGCAUGUUCGCCGCUCCCACUGACGGCGCCAGUGCUGGCGAAGCCGGACUGCUGGAUGUGGGAGCACAACUCCGUUGAGGCGCAGCUGUGUUCCACCAGCACCACGUAUUUGGCGCGGCUGUUCUCCUCUGUGCAGGGGGUGUCGGACUGGCCGCACUAUUCUGCCUUUAUGGUGACGGCGAAAGGCAAAGAGACGAUGAUUUUUCUUGAGCUUCACGUCUCCGAGGUCCAGAGACGCACUGUCUCCUCGUCUGGGAUGAUGGUGUACUCGGCGCCGUCGCCGCUGCCCGUUCGGAUCCGCAAGCCCUUUAACAUGCAGAGUGACGAGGUGCUCACGCUGCGUGUGACGACGGAGGGUGACUUUUUCAUUUACGACACGAACGACAUUGUGCGGUGCAGCAUUUCGAAGGAAGAACUCUACGGCGGCAAGCAUCAGCGGCAGCUACACAGGAUCGGCUUUGUGAGCGUCGACCCGGAAAAGGUGACGGCGCUUCUUUACGUACCGGAAAAAACGCGGCGCAACCCCCGUGCCAACAUUGCAUCGGAUGCAAAGACAACUCUCUCCUCGUCGUCGCUGCUUCCAAAGACAUACUCGCCUGCCUGGGUGAGGCUCGACGCCAGCCGCAUUACCGUGAGCCGCAACGGCCUGACCGCGAGCUCCGUGAACGAGCUCGGCGGGGGCGACGCCGUGAUGGGGUCGCCGCUGCCGGCGACAGGUGUGUGGUCCUUCGUUGUGCAUAUUCACCGUAAGGACUCCCAGCCAGGCACGCCGCUCGGCUCCGGGUUUUUUGCCGGGGUCGCCCUCUCCGACUUUGCUCAGUUUGCUCCAGAGUACUCCGCAAUCAAGACGUACGUCGGGUCGCUGUGGGUGGUGCAGGACGUCCAGGAUGAGGACUCGAUGCCAAAUCAGGAGCCGCUGCCUCCUCUGAUGCGCGGCUCCUACGGCCAGGGAGUGCUGUUUUUUGACAGCACCAAGCUGCUGUUCAUAGUCGACCGAAGCAACGGCACGCUUUCCAUCUCGCGCGACAACGAGUCUCCACACGUGGUGUUUCAAGGCAUACCGCACGGCGCGUCCGUGUCGCCGUUUGUCCGCCUCGAUCAUCCCAACUCAUCCGCGACGCUGGCGCGUUUCUCUAGCGCGGUGGAGUACACACGACUGCACCAGCCGUCGCUGGAGAAGGUCCUCUGGUUGCAGCCCAUCACGCCAUCUCUUCUACGCCGCUACCCACUUUUCAUGGCGACGCAGACGUUCCCGUUCAUCUCGGAGCUGGUGCGCAAGCUCCCCACUCGUCUCGCUGGGCUAUUGGAGCGCUGCUGGGGCGAGCAGAUAGCACGGUCGCGUUUCGAGUACCGUGUCGCGCAGGCGUUGGAGGAGCUUGCAGGGCUGGGUGCUUUUGCCCGCUCGUUGCCUGAGGCGAACGACGCCAAAGUAGAUGAAAUUGCCGACUACCUUUCCAAGUCGGCUCGCAGGGAGGUGGUGGUGUUUCCCGCUCGCACGAGCGAGACAGCUGUACAGACGUCGCCGCUCGACGACAGCACUGGUGUACACGUGCGGUUGCCGCCAACGUACGAGCUUGUGGGACGUGUGGAGGCGACAAAUAUGGUGCGCGUGCUUCACUUUGAUCGUGAGUUUGGUGCGGUUGAACGCACGCUGCAUCUCUUUUUUCUUGACGACGCGACGCUAAACCUUCACAGCACAAACAACGUCUUGCCGCACCUGUCGGUGAUGCGCCAGCACGAAAUCCUACCUGCGCUGAACAGGGCAGAAGCCGUGGCUGUUAUGGCAGACGGAUGGUUUGAUUGCUCACUGGCGGACUAUGACGCAGUGCUUAACGUAAAGGAGGAGGAGGAGAUCGCCUCCUCCCUGGUCUACGCGUUGGAGCACUGGCAUCUGCACCAGCUCCCACAUGGCCACGUCCACCCGAGAAACGUCUACUUGCGUGUCGAGCAUGGGGAGGUGGUGCAGUGCUGCCUGUGGAACGUGCAUCAGCUGUCGCCGAAGAGCAAGUACGCCUCGCACGAGCUGCGCGACUCUGGUGUCCGCUCCUUGUUUGGUGACCGGUGGGCCUGCUGGCAAAUCUUGCACUCUUUCCAGCACCUUCUUGCGCACGACCCCCGUGUCGCGGAGUGCGUCGAAUUGAUGGUGGACGAGGCCACGAGUAUAUCGCGCGCGCUGCAGCUAAGCGUAGCAUUCCAGGGCAGCUUCAGCGACAGCGGCGAGGGCCUGACGUUUUCUCUGCGCACGGGUUCGCGGCUGCGCGGUGGCUCUGGGUCGUACAACGGCAUCAUGUUCGACGUCGUCGCCAAGAACAACACCAUUUGCAUUACGAAGCUGUCAUUCAUACCAGAUGCCAACACGGUCGCGACGGUGCGGCUCUACGCACGCAGUGGGAGCUUCAUGGGCUUCGAACGCGACCCCGAAGCAUGGACAAAGCUUUUUGAGGAGGAGAUGGCCUUGAAGGACACAUGGGAAGUGACGCUGGAGAACUUCGAGCCUAUCACAGUGCCAGGAGGCGCGCGGGUCGGCAUCUUCCUCCACACGACGAGCGGCAGCGGUGUGCUCUUCUUCUCGGAGAACGAAGGACUGCAAGGCAAAACCGGAGACGUGGAGGAGGAGAAUGACGACAUUGGCAUUACGAUUGGCAAGAAGAGCGAGAGCGCCAAUCCUUUCGUCGCGGUGCAAAGUCAGAAACGACUCCUGAAGGGCAGCAUCACCUACACAGUCCUCAUGCGAUCAAACGGACCGCGCAGCUGCCUUAUCUCCUGCUGUGAGCCCGUCCUCAGCGACGGCAAGGGAGAGGAGCAGGUCGAGCUUCGUUUGGUGCAAGUCAGCAGUGCGGCGAGAAAAGGCGAAUCGGAUUUGCAGGUUCCGGGCGGCGUGCGCGCUCCCGGCGGAGCCCGAACCCAGCUCCCCGCCACUCAGCUGCCAACGUCGUCAGGGUACUGCCUUCAGGUGCUUAGUGCACCAAACACUCGGCGCAGCGGGUCCGACAGGAAUAACGUACUUACACUUGUGGCGCCGAGCCAGUUCGUGUGGUGCCGCGCACCAGACGUGGUCUCCGUCCGGCCGGGACUGCUGCGAGAGGUGGCUGAUCCACUUGUUCGCUUCCUUGCCGCUGAGGGCCUGCGCAGACGUCGCACACUACUGCGCCAACACAAUCUCAGCAGCCGCGUGUUCCCGUGCCGCCCAUUGCAUUUUCUUCUCCUUCCUACCCAUGACACGGAUACUGGAGCGCCAUCGUCGAUGUGCAGUGUGACGCACCCGGUUCUCAGUGGUGGUACCGUGUUCAUCUCGGAGCCCAUAUCGUCCUCUUGCACCCUAUCGUUAUGGCAGAAGGCGGCCGGGGCGGCGGUGCUACUUGUUAUGGAUCAUAUCCCGACGACGGAUGAGGUGACUCGGCGGACGACGGCAUCGCCGUCCGACUCGCUGGUUGGCGCGCGCAGCUGUGGCGGAUUUGUGCACGUCGAUGACGCGCUCCGAUACGUGACGUCGACUCGAGAUCGUGUACAUCUGCGGCUCAAAGCGUCCUUGUCGUGCCGCCCCCUCUUUGUUGUGGCUCGGCUUCGAAACGCCGGACACCGCGACUCGCAGCUAUUCGCCUACAGCAGUGCCAUGGAACACGAGCUCUUCACCCCUGCAGCGGAAGGAUGCUUCUUCAUGACCAACCGUAAAGCCACACCACCCGACGACAACGCUGCCUUCGCGACCACUUGGCACGCCUGCGGCGGGCUCAUCGCGCUGGAGGGGCGCGACAAAGGUUGUGCUGGCGCAGAGUCUCUAGUUCGGCUGGAGUCGCUUGUCUCCAGCAGGGAUGAGGUGCGUUUUGUCUGCCCGCCUCGGUGCCCAGGAGAGAGCGAAACGGUUGUGCAGGAGAAGAUGAAGACCGGCGAGGCUCAGCCGAACGUGGCGGUGCAGCACGCCAUCCCGCAAGCGCCGCUCCUGAUUGAGCUGCGCGAGCAGGCAAAGUGGAAGUCGGUCCGGCACCUCGUUGAGUUUACGUGCCUAUCUUCGUCCCUUGCACUAUGCGGUGCGCGCGGGGCAUGGCAGGUGGCGGGGGGCAUCAACUGCAGCGCGGUGGUGUCGUCGCCGCGCUUCACCACCGCCGAGCGGCAUCGUGUGCACUUGCGGCUGCAGUUUCCUCGACGCAUGCCCAUGGACCUGCAGCUCGACUGCAAGAGCGGCUCGGCGAACCCGAUUCGGCUGCUGCACGGCUCCUACAAAUCCUUGCGCAGCCGUCUAUUCGACCCCGCAGUGCGAGAGGUGUUUGUGUGGCUCGACAUCAACCUGCAGACGCGUGAAGUGGUCGUGCUGAGCAGCGACGGAACCGUCUAUCACCCUUUCAUUGAGGAAAGCGUCCUUUCGUCUGACGUGCAGCUCGGUUUUGUGUCGCACGCGCCAGGAUCCGAGCUGGAUGUGCUGGAGUGGAGGGUCUGCUCCUCUCAAAUACGUGGUGAGAUGACUGCGUCCGUGUUCAAGAGAGUGCUAGAGGAGACACCUCUGGCACAGCUUUCAGCGAACACAUCUUUGACGGUCGGCACCGUGUGCCGCCACUCGGCGCGUGGAGCGUUUCCGUCCAAACAAGAGGUGAACCUGUCCACAGAGAAGCAGAUGGGAGUUCUCAUGGUGACGUACGCGAGAAUGCUGCUCGAGAAAACGCUUCUGUCUCAGGAAAAGGCACGUACAGCUGCACAGCCGCAGUUUCUCCGACUUCUCUCGCUCACGGCGUUGCGCAAACACCCGGAUAUUGCCCGCAUCCUGGAUGGCGAGAUCAAGCAAGGCUCUUUCCGGCUUGUCUCUCAGUGUGUAGCGCAAUUAUCAGCACCGUUCCUGAUGCAGGUGCCGGCAGAGGUGGAUGCCGGCAUUAAUGUCAUCGCGUCUCUAAUGCGCAAUGACGUUUUCCGACGCACAAUUCUGAACGCGUUCGGAAGCUCGCUUGUUCUCAUUCUGCUUAGGGCUGCGACGGUACACACGCGGUCGACGCGGCACACGGCGCUCCACUGCGUGCAGGAGUUGUUGUCUGACGGGCGCGUGCCGCUUCCGUCUCACCACGUGCUCUCCGCGCACCUCCGUCCGCUGACGGACAUGAUGGCCUCCCUGUGCCGGAGAGAGCGAAUGGGCUCGGCAGUGGUGCAAACCGGUGUGACACUCAUCGCCGACCUGAUCGAGCGCUACCAGCGUGAGCGGCCGGAGCACCCGUACCGAGAUGUUCCCACAGAGAUACCGUACAAGCUGGUCUGUUGCGCCCGAGAAAUCGUGCGCGCCAUCACUCAUGACCCGCCACUGCCCUUUCCUUCCGCAAUGGUAGCAGAGGUGAGCUCGCAGCACACGAUGCGGUGCGAGGUCAUGAAGCGUGUAAUCGACGCCGAAAACAGGACCUGCGCAAUCGGCGUCUUCAAGGAGGAGGGCCGGCACCCGGAUAGCAGUAUGUCCUUUACGGUACGGAUGAACGGCAACCGGCGCGGCUCCGUCGUCGUUGGCUGGAACUCGGCGACGCCGCGGCAGCAGCAGGAUGAAUCCCUGCCGUGCUUUGGCUACUUCGUAGAUGGGCGCACUGGGGCGGUGUUUCUGUGCUAUAACCACACCAAGUCCAUGAAAGGCUUAGCCCUCCGCGUCAACGCUGGCGACGAUUUGAUAACGACCGCCAACUACAGGGACCACAAGAUCACCUUUGAGCUCAAGCGUGCCGGCAUUACAGUAGGGGAGACCAAGUUUGACACAGAGAGGGAGGUCAUUGGGUUACCUUUCUUCUCCGCCGAGUACUCUGAUGACGCCACAGUCGACCUCAAGUCAUUUCAUCCAGGGCCGCAGACGCUCUCUGUAUCCCGUCUCUACGAGCAGAUUCUCCGGGCCCCGUACGAGCAAGACCAGACGCCGGCGCAGUCGUUUGAGUUUUACGCGGAGCUGAACCUGUUUGCGCAGACCGUCCUGAACGUGCACAGCAGCGCCGAUAUCGUCUCGCGGGUCGUGAACGAGACCACUGUGGCGAGUCACGAGCUGGCCAGCUUCACGCAGGUGUCAUCAGCGCUGAAUGCCGGCGCCUUUGCCGAGAGGGUGUCGCUUGCCCCACUGACGCCAUACCUCGUGCGCCUAAAGAAGCUAGACGAGCUGACGGCUGAGUUUGCUCCGCUCAUCAACCUGCGCCGACGCACGGAGCUGUUCGACAUUUUCGGCGUCCUCAAGAACCUCUGCUCCCGGGAGACGGAGGAGCAGAUUCAGACGCGCAUCAUGGCACCCUUCCAGAACAUGCAGGGCAAGAAGGUCUCAGUCACGAUCCACACGAUGCAGGCACAGCCCACGACCUCCACCGGCCCAUUCCAGACACUGAUGCGCUCGGUGUUUGGGCAGCUCUAUCUGCAGCUUCAGCAGGCAACAAUCGACAUCUUUUAUGUAUCGCCCAUCUUCACUGUGAAGCUCGCCGGUUUCGGCUCCACCGACGCCGGUGGCCCUUACCGUGACGUCCUAUCUCAGCUCGCCACGGAGAUCAUGACGACGCACCCCAGCAAGCAGUGCCAGCUGAACCCGCUCUUCGUGAACUGCGGGCGCGGUGACGUGACGGCGAUUAUGCCGAAUGUUGCCCUGAUAAAGAGCGCGCAGAUACCCCUCAUGUUGGAGUUCUUCGGGAAGCUGCUCGCGUCGCUUUUCCUCACACAAGAUGUGCUGGCGGUGGAGCUGCCUCCUCUCUUCUGGAAGCUGUUGCUCGGCGAGGAGGCCACCAUCAAAGACCUGUCCGCGUUCGACGCGGACAUCGCGAAGCUUCUCCAGCCGGAGGAGCUGAUGAUGCGCACCCACGAGGAAUUGGAGGAGCGCUUCCCUGGUAUCACAGCAGUGUGGAAGGCCAUCGUGGAUGACAACCAGCAGUUCCUCCUCGACGAGAAUCUUCCACCGGAGACUCUGGAUGGUGCUCGCCUGCUUUCUCGCCGCAUCAUGGUGAGCGAGAUCCACCGCUUUGAGGAGGCGAUCGGCUACAUCCAGCAAGGCUUUGACCAAGUCCUCCCACUGUACACCCUGCACGCUUAUCGGUGGCAGAAGGUGGAGCUGCUCAUCUGCGGCACUCCAAAGCUCACCUUUGCGGAUUUCUACAACAAGUGCGAUAUCCAGCUCUCUACCGCCGAUGCGAGCAUGUUUUUAUCGGUUCUCGAAAGCAUGACGGACGAGGAUCGCACCUUGCUCCUUCGCUUUACCACCGGCCAGUCGCGACUUCCACUCAAAACGAAGAUCAAGGUGACCCACAACGGAAGCAAGGACACACUUCCAACGAGCAGCACCUGCUUUUUCGCUCUUCGCCUCCCCUCCUACUCAUCUGCAGAAAAGAUGAAGGAGCGUCUCUUGUACGCCGUACGACAGUGCAAGGCGAUCGACGCGGACGGUCAGGCACGCGAACAUCUUAUCAUCGAUUGAAAUGCUGCGGCUAUUUUUUGACCCCUGCCAUUGCUUUCGUUGUCGUCUUUUCUUUUGGUGCUGUUGCUCAUGUGGACAACCGCAUAUUUCCUUCAAUGCGCACUGCUGCGACUUUACGUUAUCGUCAUUGUGCGUGUAGCACAUCAGAACUCCUUUCGAAAUCCAUGUUGAUUGUCUCACGGUGAGCAUUUUUCCAUCUUUUUUUUUAUCGUUGCAAUUGACGUGUGAGUACGAUCCUUCGUGACGUUUCAUAUUUUCACUGUCGUUUUUUCUUCUAUUAUCCACGCCUGUGCUUGUGCAACAUUCUUUAUUUUCUGUUUGUUGGAAGCUGCCUUGCUCGCGUCGGCUUCCCUGUUUCUUCUUUUUGUGUGAGCGUGUCUCUUGCUUGGACUCUUUGCUGUACUGUGGUGACCUUGACAAGUGCCUCCACUGCUGGGCACUGCCGACAACGGGCUCUGCGUCUUUUGUUGGUGUGCGUGAAUCACCACAAGGAAAUGAAGCAAAGCGCAUACAAGAGUAGCGUAUUCGUCCCCAUCGACGAAACUUGGUAGAAGUGUGACGACUGUAACACGCCGUGCCUGCAAGCUGCAUCCCCGCUUCAUUCAGAGAUGGGAGCUUACCCUCGCAGAGAUUCAGCGGUCCAUCCGACAGCGGGGAAGCGACUCUUUUGGCGCUGGUGGCUAACCCACUCUGCGCUUCGGCCGACACCUUUGUAUGCGGGCAGCACAUAGGGAGAGGAGGAGGCCGUGUGGUUGUCUGCAAUGACAUGCUGUUGCUCCUGAUGCGCUCCCUCUCACUUUCCUCUGGUAUGCUAUAUCGGUUCUUACUUCCACCUUGGUUUCCUGACACCGAGAAUGCGUUGUCUCUCUGCGCCUCGUACCGUAUUCUCUCUCCCUGUACUUUUAUCCGACACUUUUAGUCUACGCUUC
rnacentral:misc_RNA from 1 species